AGCCUGAACGCUGGCGGCGUGGUUAAGACAUGCAAGUCGUACGGUGUAGCAAUACACAGUGGCGAACGGGUGAGUAAUGAAUCGCUAAUGUACCCCGGACUUUGGGAUAGCUGCCCGAAAGGGCAGGUAAUACCAGAUGAUAUAACUUUGUCGCAUGACAGAGUUCUCAAAGGUCCGCCGGUCUGGGAGCAGGCGAUUUCGUAUCAGCUAGUUGGUAAGGUAACGGCUUACCAAGGCGACGACGCGUAGCCGGACUGAGAGGUUGGCCGGCCACAUUGGGACUGAGACACUGCCCAGACUCCUACGGGGGCUGCAGUAACGAAUCUUCCGCAAUGCACGAAAGUGUGACGGAGCGACGCCGCGUGUGGGACGAAGCCCUUCGGGGUGUAAACCACUGUCAAGGGAAAGAAAGUUCUGAUCUACCCUAGAGGAAGAGGCGGCUAACUCUGCGCCAGCAGCGC
rnacentral:rRNA from 1 species